rnacentral:lncRNA from 10 species
CUUGAUCGUCAUCUAAGCUAGAGUGAAGUGGAACCUCUCUGAGGUAGCAUAUUGAGAAUCCUUGAAGGAGAACUAGGAUUACAGUUACUGUUCUUUAGGCUUAAAAUGAGCUUCAAUCAAGAGGAGGAAGGAAAAUUGCUUAAGUCAGACUCGACAGCUAAAGGCACGCUAUACACAUUUGCUACUGAAAUCAGUGACUUCAAAUGCCUGCGGUGUUCUAAACAUAUUGUGGGUCCUCAUGGGAUGGAAGAAAGUGCAUUGGAUUUGAAAUGGGAAUAUUUGGCUCAGGCCCUGGUGGUCUGAUGCCUCUAUGUCUAUUUCACACCAUGUGAGGUAAUUUAUUUGAAAUUCAUCACCUUGUUCAGUCCUUGUAGUGAUUCUCUGAGCUAGCAAUUAUCCCGAUUAGAUAGCUGGGGAAGCCAAGGUUUAGUAGAGUAAAACAAUGAUGCAUGACUGGCACAUGGUAGACUUUAGGAAGCUCAGUUCUCCUGAUCUCAGU